CGGCGGACGGGUGAGUAACACGUGGAUAACCUACCUAUAAGACUGGGAUAACUUCGGGAAACCGGAGCUAAUACCGGAUAAUAUAUUGAACCGCAUGGUUCAAUAGUGAAAGACGGUUUUGCUGUCACUUAUGGAUGGAUCCGCGCCGCAUUAGCUAGUUGGUAAGGUAACGGCUUACCAAGGCAACGAUGCGUAGCCGACCUGAGAGGGUGAUCGGCCACACUGGAACUGAGACACGGUCCAG
rnacentral:rRNA from 1 species